UACGUAGGGGGCGAGCGUUGUCCGGAUUUAUUGGGCGUAAAGAGCGUGUAGGCGGCCAGGUAGGUCUGCUGUGAAAACUCGAGGCUCAACCUCGAGACGUCGGCGGAAACUAUCUGGCUAGAGUCCGGAAGAGGAGAGUGGAAUUCCUGGUGUAGCGGUGAAAUGCGCAGAUAUCAGGAAGAACACCCGUGGCGAAGGCGGCUCUCUGGGACGGUACUGACGCUGAGACGCGAAAGCGUGGGGAGCGAACGGG
rnacentral:rRNA from 1 species